rnacentral:rRNA from 1 species
UGAGGAAUAUUGGUCAAUGGGCGGGAGCCUGAACCAGCCAAGUCGCGUGAGGGAAGACGGUCCUAUGGAUUGUAAACCUCUUUUGUCGGGGAGCAAAGAGGCCACGUGUGGUCAAAAGCAAGAGUACCCGAAGAAAAAGCAUCGGCUAACUCCGUGCC